rnacentral:rRNA from 1 species
AAGGCCUGAUGCAUGGAGCUGCUGAAGGAUGACGCCUCGGAUGUACUCCUUCAGGCAAGGAGGCAGGCACAAGUGACGUACUGCAGAAGGAGCGCUGCUACUACGUGCAGGCAGGCUGUCGUAAUACGUACGGGCGCAAGCGUCGUCCGGAAUUAUUGGGCGUAAAGAGCUCGUAGCGGUUUGUCGCGUCUGCUGUGAAAGCCCCGGGGCUCAACCCGGGUCUGCAGUGGGUACGGGCAGACUAGAGUGCAGUAGGGGGAGACUGGAAUUCCUGGUGUAGCGGUGAAAUGCGCAGAUAUCAGGAGGAACACCGAUGGCGAAGGCAGGUCUCUGGGCUGUUACUGACGCUGAGGAGCGAAAGCAUGGGGAGCGAACAGGAUUAGAUACCCUGGUAGUCCAUGCCGUAAACGUUGGGCACUAGGUGUGGGGGACAUUCCACGUUCUCCGCGCCGUAGCUAACGCAUUAAGUGCCCCGCCUGGGGAGUACGGCCGCAAGGCUAAAACUCAAAGGAAUUGACGGGGGCCCGCACAAGCGGCGGAGCAUGCGGAUUAAUUCGAUGCAACGCGAAGAACCUUACCAAGGCUUGACAUUCACCGGACCGCCCCAGAGAUGGGGUUUCCCUUCGGGGUCGGUGGACAGGUGGUGCAUGGUUGUCGUCAGCUCGUGUCGUGAGAUGUUGGGUUAAGUCCCGCAACGAGCGCAACCCUCGUUCUAUGUUGCCAGCACGUGAUGGUGGGGACUCAUAGGAGACUGCCGGGGUCAACUCGGAGGAAGGUGGGGAUGACGUCAAAUCAUCAUGCCCCUUAUGUCUUGGGCUUCACGCAUGCUACAAUGGCCGGUACAAAGGGUUGCGAUACUGUGAGGUGGAGCUAAUCCCAAAAAGCCGGUCUCAGUUCGGAUUGAGGUCUGCAACUCGACCUCAUGAAGUCGGAGUCGCUAGUAAUCGCAGAUCAGCAACGCUGCGGUGAAUACGUUCCCGGGCCUUGUACACACCGCCCGUCAAGUCACGAAAGUUGGUAACACCCGAAGCCGGUGCCUCCCCACUUUUCGUCCCCCUUUCCCUGUCACGAGCUGUGAAGCUUC